AUGUCUGAUCUCGACGUUACUCUGCCAUCUGCCUUCGAUCCUUUUGCUGAGGCAAAUGCUGAGGAUGCUGGUGCAGGCCCCGGCGCAAAAGAUUAUGUGCAUGUGCGCAUCCAGCAGCGCAACGGCAGGAAGAGUCUGACCACUGUCCAGGGCCUGAAGAAGGAGUUCAGCUACAACAAGAUCCUCAAGGAUCUCAAGAAGGAAUUCUGCUGCAAUGGCACAGUAGUCCAGGAUCCGGAGCUAGGCCAGGUCAUUCAGCUUCAGGGUGAUCAGCGUAAGAAUGUUGCUACUUUCCUAGUCCAGGCUGGGAUUGCGAAGAAGGAGCUCAUCAAGAUCCACGGCUUCUAA
rnacentral:rRNA from 1 species